GAUGUUCGCACUGCUGCGGUGGAAAUGGAGGUGGAGGCCAUUGAAGCGGCUGCAGAUGGCAGUGACACCGUAACGCGCAAGCAUCUGAGAACUUAGUGCUUUAUUGAGCGCAGGAACGGAGCCUUCAGCAGGGCGACAAGGUGCUCAAGGUUCUCGGUACAUGACCCAGACUUGCUGCAAAAAUGUCUUCAGGCAUUGGGGCAGCCCGGCUUUGUACCGUCGGGGCGCCACGUGCUGUGCUCCACACAUUUUGAAGAAUCCACUUUUUACGCUGGCAGCCAACGCCGCCGCCUCCAUGAGGGUGUCAUGCCAUCGAAGUUCAUGACACCAGCCAAAAAAGAACAGGCACAAGACACGUCGAUGCCAGCCGACAAGCGAACAUGCCAAAGCUCCUCCCGCACGCAGACAGCAGUUGAGUUGCCAAGCGCACGCCUGCAAAGCGUCGUCAUUGAGCACUCGUACAGCAAAAGAGAGGAGCCCGAGAGCAGAGUGAAGAUGCUCAGCAAGCAACUAUAUGCUGCAAGAAAAAAAAGUGAAGUUCCUUGGAGAAAAGGCCAGUCGUUACAAGAAAAAAAGAAAGCUUGGAAUGUGUAACACAGACACUGCUAGAGCAAAAACAAAAUUCGCAGGCAGUGUUAAAAGACGCAGUAAGAAAUUUACCAAAGGCAAUUGUUGUGGAUUGGCAAAGAAAUUCGACAGAACAACCCCGUGGAAGGAAGUAUGCUCCUGAAUUGAGAACAUCUGCUGCAACGUUACACUACCAUUCGCCCCGAGCGUAUGAUUACGUUUGCACACUUUUUCCUAUGCCGUGUGUACAAGCAAUAUGACGAUGGCUCAAGGCUGUUGAUGGCUGGCCAGGUUUCACACCUCAGGUGCUUAUAGCCCUGAAGACUAAAUACGCAAGCGCCACCUCUUGUGAGCACAUGUGCUCAGUUUUGUUGGAUGGGAUGAGUAUCAAAAAGGUGUGUGACUUGGCUAUUUCAACAGGGCGUCUUAUCGGCUAUCCUGAUUUGGGAGACAACAGGCAGCAGCCGAGUGACCCAAAGAGCACCCCGCUCGCCACUGACGCGCUUCUGUUCAUGGUUGUUGGACUAGCUGCACCAUGGAGGAUGCCAUUUGUGUACUUCCUAAAUGCUGGACUAUCAGGUGAAGUCCUUCGAAACCUUGUGAUGCAAUCUCUGGAGAAGCUGCAAGAGUGCGGGCUCAUCGUCAUGGCUGUAAUUUGAGACUGCCUAGGGGCGAAUGCGUGAAUGGCAAAACUAUUCGGCUGUCGUGUGCAUGAACAGUGUUACGAUGACCUGACCACAACAUUUCAGUGCCCAGGACACAAUCGCGACAUUCAUGUCAUCUUUGAUGCGUGCCAUGGUCUAAAGUUGCUGCGGAACAUCCUUGGUGACAAGGGGACCCUGAUAAGAAGCACAUAUGGGGUCAUUCAGUGGAUACACAUUGAAGCGCUUCAUCAGCUCCAGGAGAAGGAGAGCCUCAAUGCUACAAACAAACUUUCACGGGCUCACGUCGAGUACCACCGUCCGGUAAAGUGGCGCAGAUGAAGACAUCACAUCUCAAUAAAUGAACAUCGUGCUCUUUGUGUCUUA
rnacentral:lncRNA from 1 species